GGCCACGUUUUUUUUUGUAACCGGAUCUCACCGCAUAGGAUUAUUAGUUUAUUACGAUAAAACUGCUCUACGAUUCGUUCGCCAGUCGCAACGCGUGAAGCUGCCUUCGGAUUUCAUACACUCAAUACGUUCCUUAUACUCGUACAGAACUCUCAUUUCACACUCAAUUCGAUCUCCCAUUCUCUCAGCUUUCUCACUGUUUUCUCUCUCGUUUUCUCGAGAAUCGAAGAGCAGGAAGAUCAGUUUAUCUUGUCUUCUUUGCUGCUGCCUUUCGAUUUUACAGUGUUUUCACUUAAUGCCGUGUGGUUGGUGAGCAUGGAGAACUGCACGGUUGAGAACGAAGUGUGCUCGUCGGAGUCUGUCAAAGGAGGGACCAACGUACAGAGCUGUAAGGAUUCUGAUUUGUCUUCUGCUGAUCAUCUUGUCGUCAUGGUCAACGGGAUCCUCGGAAGCGUCACAGAUUGGAAGUUUGCAGCUGAGCAGUUCGUCAGAAUGCUUCCUGAUAAAGUGUUUGUUCAUUGUAGUGAACGAAAUGUGGCUUCGCUGACAUUGGAUGGUGUGGAUGUGAUGGGUGAACGAUUAGCAGAAGAGGUACUUGAAGUGAUUAAACAAAGGCCAAAUAUCAGUAAAAUUUCCUUUAUUGCACAUUCUGUGGGAGGUUUGGUGGCAAGAUAUGCGAUUGGGAGAUUGUAUAGACCUCCUACUAAAGGAAAAGCAGAGGAUUCAUUGGCUAAUACAUGUGAAGAGGAUUCAAGGGGUACGAUCUGUGGUUUGGAGGCAAUGAACUUCAUUACUGUUGCUACACCUCAUCUUGGUUCGAGGGGUAAUAAACAGGUACCCUUCCUUCUUGGUGUAAAUGUCUUUGAGAAAGCAGCAAGUCGUGUUAUUCAUUGGAUAUUUAGGAGAACAGGCCGACAUCUUUUUCUUACAGAUGGCGAUGAAGGAAAGCCACCACUGCUUCGGUGCAUGGUGGAGGAUUAUGGUGAAUAUUAUUUCAUGUCUGCAUUACGGAUGUUCAAACGUCGGGUGGUAUAUUCAAAUGUUGGAUAUGACCAUAUUGUUGGUUGGAGAACAUCAUCGAUUAGACGUAAUAGUGAACUGCCAAAGUGGGAAGAUUCUCUUCAUGAAAAAUAUCCACACAUUGUUUAUGAAGAACACUGCAAGGCAAGUGAUGCUGAGGAGAGUGAGCCAAUAUUGAUGGCAGAGGAGGGCUCUGACAAGCUAGAAGAGGAGCUGAUUACAGGACUAUCCCGUGUGUCAUGGGAAAAAGUAGAUGUCAGCUUCCAUAGUUGCAGGCAGAAGUUUGCUGCUCAUAGUGUCAUCCAGGUGAAAGAUCACAUCAUCCAUGCGGAAGGUGCAGAUGUUAUUUGCCAUAUAAUCGAUCAUUUUCUUGCAUAGAAGAAGAAGACCAUUGACUCCUUUCUUUAAUGCUGUCCACCUGUGAAAUAUUUCCAAGUUGCAGGUUGGAGGCAGUAAGGUUCUAAAUAACAAGCUCAUCCAUGAAAAAUGAUAUAAAAUGAAAAUUUGUUUAUUCAUUGUGUUCUCGUGUACAUGAACAUUCGACCUCUACUAAUAAAUUGCAAAAUGUUCAUAAAUCCCAGAGGUUGAAUGAAGUCUCAACCUGGCUCUGCUCUGCAUCCUUUUUUGUUUGUUAUGGUACUGUGGUUGCAUGCUUGCAUGUUACCAAAAGAGUGGUUCCUAAUAAAAAAAAUUUUCCCUUCCUCUGCGUUA